rnacentral:lncRNA from 1 species
UGAGCUGAAAAUUGGAUUUUUGAGCUUUUCUUGAUGCUAACUUUGUAGGCAGUGGGAUUUUAGACCUGAGAUUGAUCACCCCUCAGUAUUUGCUGGAUUUGAAACUGUCCUCACCUGAUUUGGAGAUCAUUAGGUGAGUUUUGACAUUGGAGUUGAGAUGAAUUAGCUUAAGUGCUGAAAUUUUGGCUAAUUGAUAGUUUUGUUGGAUUUUUGGGUGAAUUGUGAUGUCCAGAUCUUGAGGAGCUUGAUUGCUGGUUUGGAGGUGUUUCCAGCAGUGUUACUAGAGAUCCGAGACCAUCUUGCUACCAGGAAUUGCAUUAGAGGUGGGUGUAUCAUCGGUUUUGCUCCUAAGUGCAUGUUUAGUCGACGUGUAUAGUUCGAUUUUGUAUAUCAUGCUUUAAUUCAUCGAUUAGCAUUUUGGAUGUAAUAUGAAUAUGAAAGCAUGCUGAAAUGAAUGGUUAUAUUAUACAUGUUGGACUGAAAAUUUGACUUAGGAGAAAACCUGCGUUUUGACCCGUCAUAUGCUUAAACUACCAGAUUUAGCUCUAGGAGCCGUGAAUCGAUUGUAUCGUUGCAGUGUCAGUGCGAUGGAUACCUGGGGUAGUUUAGUAGGCAUUUAUACUCGUGCUGGGAUGCCGAGUUUAUUUUUCAGCAGAGUUUAGGCUGUUUCGGGUCGUUGGGUGCCGUUUGGGUUAGCGGUGGACCCAGAUUCUUGUUUUGGUCACAGAUUGUGCCGAGGGCACGUGGGUUUGGUUGUAGACCUGUUUUGACCCUGUUCACUUGACUUUGGCUAGUUGGAGCCUGUUUGAGCUCGACAGAGACACGCUGCAUACUCGAUUGGGUAGCGCCCACGAGUGCCACUCCGGAGUCAGGCGUUGUGCUUUCGCGUUGGUGUCGCUCAUGCCAGUUGGACUUGCUCUCCACGGACCAGUUAGUGUGGAUAGAGCACGAUAGUCGCAACGGGGCAGGGACGGGUGUAUUCACAGUCCCGGGGACGGGUAUGCUUACAGUCCCGAUUGGAUUGGGUCAGAUUGGACUUUUCCUACAGUUGGUUAGUGUAGAGCACGAUAGUGUAGUGUUUGAUAGCGGUAGACUUUAUUUCCGCAUUUUCUACUAUUCUUGCUCCCUUCUGUAGACUUAGUGGGUGGACCGAUGUUGUUUUGGGCGGUACCCACUGAGGACUACUUGUUUUUACAGUAGUUCUCACGCCCUGUUGUUACUUUAUCUUUUGCAGAGCCAUCGUCUUCGGCUGCUGCUACUGCUGAUCAGGAUCGAGGCAAGGGCGUCGCGAGUUAGAGCCCUACCCUACGAGCCGAGCUAGAGGUGCCCUACUGCAGGUAGUA